AGCUUAGUUGGUAAACCACUAAUCUAGUAUAUAAGGGUCGUGAGUUCAAAUCUCACCUGAGCUG
rnacentral:tRNA from 1 species